rnacentral:rRNA from 1 species
UACGAGGGGGGCGAGCGUUGUUCGGGAUUAUUGGGCGUAAAGGGUGCGUAGGCGGUUUUGUAAGUCUUAUGUGAAAUCUAUGGGCUCAACUCAUAGACUGCAUGAGAAACUGCAGGGCUUGAGUAUGGGAGAGGUGAGUGGAAUUCCUGGUGUAGCGGUGAAAUGCGUAGAUAUCAGGAGGAACACCUGUGGCGAAAGCGGCUCACUGGACCAUAACUGACGCUGAUGCACGAAAGCUAGGGGAGCAAACAGG